rnacentral:rRNA from 1 species
UACGUAGGGUGCAAGCGUUGUCCGGAUUUAUUGGGCGUAAAGAGCUCGUAGGCGGUCUGUCGCGUCGGAUGUGAAAACCCAGGGCUCAACCCUGGGCCUGCAUUCGAUACGGGCAGACUAGAGUGUGGCAGGGGAGACUGGAAUUCCUGGUGUAGCGGUGAAAUGCGCAGAUAUCAGGAGGAACACCGGUGGCGAAGGCGGGUCUCUGGACAGUUCCUGACGCUGAGGCACGAAGGUCAGGGGAGCAAACGGG